rnacentral:other from 1 species
AACACCCUGCAUUGUUCGUGUAUAACAGUCAAUAUUAACCCAACACACUUUUUAAGGGAUGCCUGAUCACUCUGACAGAGGAUUGCAGACCUCCCGCUUUUAGCGGACGAAGGGAGCGUGAGCCUGUCAGGAGGCGACCCACCUGCUUCGAGCAGGUUAUUAUUACUGUCUUACGGCAACGCGGGGACUUA